rnacentral:rRNA from 1 species
AUGUGGGAACUCAAAGGAGACUGCCAGUGAUAAACUGGAGGAAGGUGGGGAUGACGUCAAGUCAUCAUGGCCCUUACGACCAGGGCUACACACGUGCUACAAUGGCAUAUACAAAGAGAAGCGACCUCGCGAGAGCAAGCGGACCUCAUAAAGUAUGUCGUAGUCCGGAUUGGAGUCUGCAACUCGACUCCAUGAAGUCGGAAUCGCUAGUAAUCGUAGAUCAGAAUGCUACGGUGAAUACGUUCCCGGGCCUUGUACACACCGCCCGUCACACCAUGGGAGUGGGUUGCAAAAGAAGUAGGUAGCUUAACCUUCGGGAGGGCGCUUACCACUUUGUGAUUCAUGACUGGGGUGAAGUCGUAACAAGGUAACCGUAGGGGAACCUGCGGUUGGAUCACCUCCUUACCUUAAAGAA